AGUGAACGCUGGCGGCAGGCCUAACACAUGCAAGUCGAGCGGCAGCGCGGGGGCAACCCUGGCGGCGAGCGGCGGACGGGUGAGGAAUGCAUCGGAAUCUACCUCGUUGUGGGGGAUAACCUCGGGAAACCGGGACUAAUACCGCAUACGACCUACGGGUGAAAGUGGGGGACCUUCGGGCCUCACGCGAUGAGAUGAGCCGAUGCCGGAUUAGCUAGUUGGCGGGGUAAAGGCCCACCAAGGCGACGAUCCGUAGCUGGUCUGAGAGGAUGAUCAGCCACACUGGAACUGAGACACGGUCCAGACUCCUACGGGAGGCAGCAGUGGGGAAUUUUGGACAAUGGGCGAAAGCCUGAUCCAGCCAUGCCGCGUGAGUGAAGAAGGCCU
rnacentral:rRNA from 1 species